rnacentral:misc_RNA from 1 species
GAUGAAGAACGUAGCGAAAUGCGAUAAGUAAUGCGAAUUGCAGAAUCCGUGAAUCAUCGAAUCUUUGAACGCACAUUGCGCCCCCUGGUAUUCCGGGGGGCAUGCCUGUUCGAGCGUCAUUUCACCACUCAAGCCUCGCUUGGUAUUGGGCAACGCGGUCCGCCGCGUGCCUCAAAUCGACCGGCUGGGUCUUCUGUCCCCUAAGCGUUGUGGAAACUAUUCGCUAAAGGGUGUUCGGGAGGCUACGCCGUAAAACAACCCCAUUUCUAAGGUUGACCUCGGAUCAGGUAGGGAUACCCGCUGAACUUAAGCAUAUCAAUAAGCGGAGGA